rnacentral:rRNA from 1 species
UACGGAGGAUGCAAGCGUUAUCCGGAUUUAUUGGGUUUAAAGGGUGCGUAGGCGGGAGUUUAAGUCAGUGGUGAAAUCCUAUAGCUUAACUGUAGAAUUGCCAUUGAAACUGAAUUUCUUGAGUGCAGUUGAGGUGAGCGGAAUGUGUAAUGUAGCGGUGAAAUGCUUAGAUAUUACACAGAACACCGAUUGCGUAGGCAGCUCACUAAACUGUUACUGACGCUGAGGCACGAAAGCGUGGGGAGCGAACAGG